ACUGUUGCUUGAUUUGAUUGGUGUUUAUUUUAGAUCCUGGACCGACAUAUGUGAUCUACAUCGAGUAGCAUGUCGUUCUAUACACAUUUAAUGUCCUCAAGUACACAUUCAAGCUCAUUGAUGUUCAAGGUAGAAAGCAGACAACUCACUCUCUAUGGAUCCCUUGGUGUGCUAGGCUUAGGAGCUCAUGUCUAGCUUUCUUGCGAAUAUUAACCUGUCCUUCAGUGUUUGCCUCAAUGUACAAAUGACACUAAGAUGCUAAGCCAAGGCGUUGCAGAAGGGAUUAAGUGUACAAGAUAGAACAUUGGACCCUAAGCCAACUGACACCUUCCAUGCAACUAGACUAGAUAAAGGCAUUAAGAUGCAUAUAGCGUGACAUUCGUCGCAGGUGUUGUCAAUAUGCUAGACAAAGCAUGACAAUUCCGAAUUAAAAUCCAUUACCCUAAUCAAAGGAGCAGCACCUUAACUCAUGACAAUUUUUUUUUCCAUAGAAAAUAUUUUAUGUAUCCAAUUUUUUGCUGUUCACAGAGGUGUAU
rnacentral:lncRNA from 1 species